GGCUGGUCCAAUGGUAGUGGGUUAUCAGAACUUAUUAACAUUAGUGUCACUAAAGUUGGUAUUCAACCCCCCACUGCUAAAUUUGACUGGCUUUU
rnacentral:Y_RNA from 12 species